UACGGGGGGGGGAAGCGUUGUUCGGAUUCACUGGGCGUAAAGGGUGCGUAGGUGGUCGGGUAAGUCUGAUGUGAAAUCUCCGAGCUUAACUCGGAAAUGGCAUUGGAUACUAUUCGGCUAGAGGGUUUGAGGGGGGACUGGAAUACUUGGUGUAGCAGUGAAAUGCGUAGAUAUCAAGUGGAACACCAGUGGCGAAGGCGAGUCCCUGGAAAACUCCUGACACUGAGGCACGAAAGCUAGGGGAGCAAACAGG
rnacentral:rRNA from 1 species